rnacentral:tRNA from 1 species
GGGGAUGUAGCUUAGUGGUAGAUUGCCUACUUAGAAUGUACAAGGCCUGGAGUUCAAUCUACAGCAACAACAACCAAAAAAAAAAAAAAAGAUAGCAGACUGGGGAAUAGGGCACUCAGUGAUAGGGCACUUUCCUAGUACACAUGAGGCCCCUGGGUUCAAUCCCCAGCAUUGCAA